CUACUGAAGGCGCCAUAUUUGAUUUGCCGGAAGGAUGUUUUAUUUAACCAUUUUGGCGGAUAUAAGCUUCAAGACUGGAUAAAAAGACUCAAGAAAAGAAUGUGCAAAGUUGGCUUGGUCACUCUGAUGGUGUGAUUUCGCUUUAAGCUAUACUACGACCUACAGUGUAUUUCGAAAGUUUGAAAUCCAACCAAAUACCGGAUUUUUUGCAAGUAAAGGCUCCGGAUGAACUAUCGUCGACAGGUGUGGAGGGUAAUUGUCUAUUGAGCCCCCUUCAUUUCAGAAACUGMUCCUGCUGUUGCUUUGAGAUGACACUUGUCUGGGUUUGAGUGAAGUGCAGGACAAAAAAUGAAGACAUUGCAACUCUAURAAGGUCAGAACAAACCACAAGGAACGGCUUAGAUAGAAAUUCUUAGAACAAUAUUUCAUAGACAAUAUCUUGGAUAUGGUACAGACAUCAGAGUCAUUACACUUACCKGUGCAGGGGCUUGUUGUGGGCGGUUUCCGUGACCGAGAGGUCGAGGGUUUUAAGACUAUGAAGAAGGACAAAAAAACAUUCAUGCAAAAUUGCACGAAUAUUGUCUUGGAUUUUCACUGAGCAAACUGUUGAAAUAUCCAAACGUGUGUUUGAUAAAUUGAUUUGGAAGUCUAAUAUUUCAAAGACUGUUUUCCAAGGAAGAUAGCUUCUGUAACCCCUCAAACCCUCCUUAUACAUUCCCCUGCUGUGAAGUACUUAGCAGACUACAAGUUAGUGGCAGCUUGAGUACAUCGCACUGAUAAUCUGCAUCAGUCAGCAUUUCAUGGGUUAAGUGUAUGACUUUAAAAACAUGCAAAAUUUGUGUUUAAAUAUUUCCAAAAUAGAAAGAUCAAUACGAAAUUCUAGGGCGUGUCUAGGGGUGCAUAUGCACCCCUCUUGUUUUCAAGAUUAUUUUUUAGCAGAAAUACAUGUUUUACAAUUGCAACUUAAUAAAAAAAAAUGAGAAUUGAGAGUGGUCCGUUAUUACAGACCACAUCCUAACACACAACAUCUACAUGUAUCAUACAGAAAUUGGGCUUCCCAUGCAUUUCUGUCUGAUAUAUCAUAGAUCUGCMCCUGAAAUCUACAUAGUGACAUUGAAAUAGACAUGAAAGUGUAUUUWCAAG